CCCUCACCUUCUCCUGCCCAGGAGCCAGGUUGGAAUCCAUGCGAGGACCUGCGUGGCCGCUCCCUUCCAAGGAAGGGGUGGUGUCCAGUGAAGGGCAGCACCCCAUCUCCAUGCUGGCAGUGAGAGAAGCCACAGACACCAAGGAGACAAAGGCUUGUGCUUAAAAGAACACAGCGCAUACGGCCCGAAGUAAUUUCAAAGCAAUUUCCGUGCUUCGCCUGAGGCCCUGCAGACCCGGGAAGGCAGAGUGUGGUCACAGCGAUGAGCCUUAAAUUGUCCUUUUCUUCUCCCUCUGACUGCCCACCACGCCAGCUGCUCCCAGGCCUUGGUCCUCUGUUCCCUGAAUGCGGCCGGCUGGGACUCCCAGCCCAGACCUCACGUCCGCCUCUGCUGGUUUCCUGGCCAUCUCCAGCACAAAGCCCGGAGACCACAGGACCUUGGGGCCAGAGACCCUGAGAGGCUGCCGCAGCUGGAUUAGAGAGGCUGGGCAGGCACCAAGCUCCGCUAGCGCUGUGGGAGUCCUAUGUCUGUCACCCUUGCUUGUGCAGGACUGUGGUCUCCGCAGAGACUCUCGAUCCCACAGCAAGGCCCCAGCAGACCUCCAUGGCGCCUGCCCUGGGCUCUGCCUUCCACAGGCCGAGUUCACCCAAAGACUUGGCGCCCAGGUAAUCCAUGCACCGGAUGCAGAGGAACAAAACAGAUGCUUCUCUGCCACCUGUUUGCUCCUGUGUCUUUUGCUAGCUGCUACCUUGAAGUGUUACCCCUCAGCGACGCCACCCUGCCUAGGAGACAGCUGAUUACGGACUGAAACCUCCCCAACAGUGAGCUAAAUAAACCUUUACUUCCUUCA